rnacentral:rRNA from 1 species
CCUACGGGCGGCAGCAGUGGGGAAUAUUGGACAAUGGGGGCAACCCUGAUCCAGCCAUGCCGCGUGUGUGAAGAAGGCCCUCGGGUUGUAAAGCACUUUCAGUGAGGAAGAACGCCUGGUGGUUAAUACCCAUCAGGAAAGACAUCACUCACAGAAGAAGCACCGGCUAACUCCGUGCCAGCAGCCGCGGUAAUACGGAGGGUGCGAGCGUUAAUCGGAAUUACUGGGCGUAAAGCGCGCGUAGGUGGCUUGAUAAGCCGGUUGUGAAAGCCCCGGGCUCAACCUGGGAACGGCAUCCGGAACUGUCAAGCUAGAGUGCAGGAGAGGAAGGUAGAAUUCCCGGUGUAGCGGUGAAAUGCGUAGAGAUCGGGAGGAAUACCAGUGGCGAAGGCGGCCUUCUGGACUGACACUGACACUGAGGUGCGAAAGCGUGGGUAGCAAACAGGAUUAGAUAUCCUAGUAGUC